CUUAGAGGGACUGUUGGUGUUCAACCAAAGUCAGGAAGGCAAUAACAGGUCUGUGAUGCCCUUAGAUGUUCUGGGCGCACGCGCGCUACACUGACGAUGUCAACGAGUCUCUCCUUNGCCGAAAGGCGUGGGUAAUCUUUUGAAACAUCGUCGUGCUGGGGAUAGAUCAUUGCAAUUCUUGAUCUUGAACGAGGAAUUCCUAGUAAGNGCGAG
rnacentral:rRNA from 1 species